GACGAACGCUGGCGGCGUGCUUAACACAUGCAAGUCGAACGGAAAGGCCUGCUUUCCCUUGUGGAUUGCGGGUGCUCGAGUGGCGAACGGGUGAGUAACACGUGAGUGAUCUGCCCCCAACUUGGGUAUAAGCCUGGGAAACUGGGUCUAAUUCCCGAUAGGACUGCAGGGUGGUGCCUGUGGUGGAAAACGAUUUUCUAGUGGUUGGGGAUGAGCUCGCGGCCUAUCAGCUUGUUGGCGGGGUAAUGGCCUACCAAGGCGGCGACGGGUAGCCGGCCUGAGAGGGUGGACGGCCACAUUGGGACUGAGAUACGGCCCAGACUCCUACGGGAGGCAGCAGUGGGGAAUAUUGCACAAUGGGCGGAAGCCUGAUGCAGCGACGCCGCGUGGGGGAUGACGGCCUUCGGGUUGUAAACUCCUUUCGACCGCGAGGAAGCCACCUGGUUGGAAGGGUGGUGACGGUAGUGGUAGAAGAAGCACCGGCUAACUACGUG
rnacentral:rRNA from 1 species